rnacentral:rRNA from 1 species
AGUGAACGCUGGCGGCAGGCCUAACACAUGCAAGUCGAACGGCAGCACAGGAGAGCUUGCUCUCUGGGUGGCGAGUGGCGGACGGGUGAGGAAUACAUCGGAAUCUACCCUUUCGUGGGGGAUAACGUAGGGAAACUUACGCUAAUACCGCAUACGAUCUGAGGAUGAAAGCAGGGGACCGCAAGGCCUUGCGCGAUUGGAUGAGCCGAUGUCCGAUUAGCUAGUUGGCGGGGUAAAGGCCCACCAAGGCGACGAUCGGUAGCUGGUCUGAGAGGAUGAUCAGCCACACUGGAACUGAGACACGGUCCAGACUCCUACGGGAGGCAGCAGUGGGGAAUAUUGGACAAUGGGCGCAAGCCUGAUCCAGCCAUGCCGCGUGUGUGAAGAAGGCCUUCGGGUUGUAAAGCACUUUUGUUGGGAAAGAAAUCCUGUCGGCUAAUACCCGGCGGGGAUGACGGUACCCAAAGAAUAAGCACCGGCUAACUUCGUGCCAGCCGCCGCAGUAA